rnacentral:rRNA from 1 species
GCCCAAUGGACGAAAGUCUGAGGCAGCAACACCGCGUGAAGGAUGAAGGCCUUACGGGUCGUAAACUCUUUUCUGGGGGAAGAGAAGGACGGUACCCCAGGAAUAAGUCUCGGCUAACUACGUGCCAGCAGCCGCGGUAAAACGUAGGAGGCGAGCGUUAUCCGGAUUUAUUGGGCGUAAAGCGCAUGCAGGCGGUUUCCAAAGUCGGACGUGAAAGCUCCUGGCUCAACUAGGAGAGGCCGUUCGAAACUAGGGGGACUUGAGGAUGGUAGAGGUGAGUGGAGUUCCCGGUGUAGUGGUGAAAUGCGUAGAUAUCGGGAGGAACACCAGUGGCGAAGGCGGCUCACUGGGCCAUUCCUGACGCUCAGAUGCGAAAGCUAGGGGAGAGAACGGGAUUAGAAACCCCGGUAUUCCUAGCCGUAAACGAUGUCAACUAGGCGUAGGCGGUUAUUGACCCCGUCUGUGCUGCAGCUAACGCGUUAAGUUGACCGCCUGGGGACUACGGCCGCAAGGCUA